UGCCAGCAGCCGCGGUAAUACGGAGGGUGCAAGCGUUGUUCGGAAUCACUGGGCGUAAAGCGCGUGUAGGCGGCUUGGUAAGUCGAAUGUGAAAGCCCGGGGCCCAACCCCGGAAUUGCAUCCGAAACUACCUCGCUAGAGUCUCGGAGAGGAAGGCAGAAUUCCUGGUGUAGGGGUGAAAUCCGUAGAUAUCAGGAGGAAUACCAGUGGCGAAGGCGGCCUUCUGGACGAUGACUGACGCUGAGACGCGAAAGCGUGGGGAGCAAACAGGAUUAGAUA
rnacentral:rRNA from 1 species